rnacentral:tRNA from 1 species
GGUGAGGUACUCAAGUGGCCAACGAGAACAGACUGUAAAUCUGUCGGCGCAAGCCUUCGAAGGUUCGAAUCCUUCCCUCACCA